AACGAACGCUGGCGGCAUGCCUAACACAUGCAAGUCGAACGAGACCUUCGGGUCUAGGGGCGCACGGGUGCGUAACGCGUGGGAACCUGCCCUUAGGUUCGGAAUAACUCCCCGAAAGGGGUGCUAAUACCGGAUAAUGUCUUCGGACCAAAGAUUUAUCGCCUUUGGAUGGGCCCGCGUUGGAUUAGCUAGUUGGUAGGGUAAAAGCCUACCAAGGCGACGAUCCAUAGCUGGUCUGAGAGGAUGAUCAGCCACACUGGGACUGAGACACGGCCCAGACUCCUACGGGAGGCAGCAGUGGGGAAUAUUGGACGAUGGGCGAAAGCCUGAUCCAGCAAUGCCGCGUGAGUGAUGAAGGCCUUAGGGUUGUAAAGCUCUUUUACCCGGGAUGAUAAUGACAGUACCGGGAGAAUAAGCUCCGGCUAACUCCGUG
rnacentral:rRNA from 1 species